CGCUCGAGGUCUUCGAGCGAGUUUGGUGCGAUGCGAGCGUGGUAGGGGAAAGGAGGAGAUAUUAGAACGAGGGAGAUAGGAAGAAACGACGUAUGCGAAUAAGAGCAGAAAGGAAAUGAAGAGGGACGGAGAAACGCAGAUAGAGCUUGCGCCGUCACUGUCGAGCUUAGGAGUCAAGUUCUAGUGCACGGCCGAAACGGGAGAAUCGACCUCCCCUCUUCGUCCCCCUCUACCGUCGCGAGCUGGCUCGCCCAAUGGCACGGUAGUGAGGGAAAUCGUCGAAAGCGAAGGGGAAGGGAGCGGUUCGCAAUGUCGAGCGUGCGCGACGGCGAGCCUUGCAUGGGGAUUUCUACCAGGUGACCGAAAUAUACACCUUCGGCACCGAACAUGUAACAACGAAUCUGAUAAGGGAAAUAAGCAGCAGCUAGGUACCUUUAACGAAGAUUUACGCUACGCUCGUAACGAAUGCCCGACCGAGAUGCUGCAUCAGAUACGCGCGUUUUCGUAAAGGCGUGUUUAAAACGCGCCGCGACGAAAGGAGUUGCCGAGCCGCGAGAAGCUAUUCUUAGCCGCGCGACGGCGGAACGAGCGCGAAUCGGAACGUACGAAAUACCGAAGAAUCGCGCCGAAACGAUUAUAAUUAACGAUCAGCCGGUUCUCCAGCGACGCAGACACGCUCGAUACCAGGUAUAAAUCAACAACGCGGCCAGAUUGCUGACGAAGAUAAAGCCGAGUGUCGCGAACGAUCGUUUCCCUUUUCUGUAUCGCGAGUCGAUAAAGCUCGUUCGCGACAUGCCAAUAGCGCCGCGCAGACCAAUCGUGCAGAUACGUGACCGACGAUACAAACGAUCCAGUACCAGUUUCACGCUAAACAUCGACGUUCGUCUAUCGAUAGACAUCGUUCCGACUAUUUUUACUUAUUCGCUGCUGUAAUAUAUUUUUCAUACGCGAUCAAUAUUGGUAAUCCUUGUUAAAGAAUGGCGGAUAAAUUUUCUUCGGAAUACGGAAUUUGCGUUUGGAACGAAAAUCACGUCAUAGCGCAUAGCGCGAUAUUACACGACAAGAGGUUAAUCGUCUCGCUUUUAACUCUGAACUUGUUCAUCCUGGCAGCCUCCGCUUUCUUUGUUAACAGCGUAAUGCACGGAAAGAACCAUCCUUGCAGCGGCCUUUCGUGGAACGGAACAUGUCCACGAACGAUCCGCCGCACCUGCUCCGAUACCUCCUUGAUUCACCGCAACAUACUAGACACACCCGUUUCGUUGUCCUCGCAGCAAUCAAACUCGCUCUUUGAGGAAGUUCUCCGCUACUUCCCCUUUUCUUUUUCUUUCUAUCUUUUUUCCUUUUCACUCUUUUCGAAACCGUUUGGCCCAUAUGCCAGCUAACCGACACUCUAUAUAGACGCACGAUAAUCAGCCGCGUGUGUGUGAGUGCGCGCACGGCUGACUAUCGCGUUCAUAGGAGUUGUGUCGCGUGUCUGCGUUCGCUGCUGCAACUCGUGCGUGCUCGACUAUGUGUCGGUGUGUGUGCGUGCGUGCACGCGCGAACGCGAGCGUCGAUCGCAUAAGUGGUCGUCAAGGUUAGCCACCUACUCGCUAUCGCGGGAUUCGUGCACACUCUCCGCGGAUGCAUUUGAGUCGUCUUGCCAGCUUUAAAGUUUAUUACGUGCUCGCCACGGAGGAUCGAGGAAACGAAUCUCAGCGCGCGCGCUGCCUCAGCCUUGUCCCGUUGCGUUCUGCGACUUCGCAGUUUUAUGGCGCGUUUCGUGCGUCCAUCGCGGUUGUGCAACACCCGCUCGCAGCGUACGCUAGCUUCGCGAGCGGUUUCUUCGGCUUUUUGCGCUUUAAAAGUUGUUUACGAUUGCUCCGCCUGGAAUCGAUGAGAUACUGUUUCAAAGAACGGUUCUUUUAAUAAAACGGAGGUCGUUAACUUUAAUAACACGACAGCCUUCUUUAUGGUACGUCUUAACGAUUCGCGCGAAAUCUUUUUAGUCGUUGGUGUACUACACGUAGAAGCAGAAUUAACAAGAUUAAUAUACUCUUAUUCGAAAGUGCAAUGGAAAAUUAUUUGGCUAAUUAAAAAAUAUGCAAUUGGUUUAUGAUAUCGUAAAGGAGUUAAGUUUCAAAAUUGUUUAUCUCAAUUCCUAGAGAAGAGGUAAUUUUUUGUAAGUAACACCGAUAGAACGAAGUACUUUGACACCGGUAAAGAACGGAGCAAAAGUAUCCUUGCUUGUUUUUACGAACAGGUGAGUAGGACGAGGAAAGGUUAACAGGACUCGAGGAUAUUCCGUUUACAUUCUUCGUCGAAACUGGUUUCUCCCUCGUUCGAUCGUCAGGGAUGUUGUAUGGUCUUUUGGACCUUAGAAAGGUUGCAGAACGCGCGAGAAAAAUCGACGAAAUUAAUUCCUUUCGUCUGAAAUCAAAUUCUUUUAUCCGAAGGAAUUUUAAUAAAAAAAGGCAUUUCUACAUAACUAUAAUCUAGAUUUCAUUUUACAACAAUAUUCGUAAGCCAUUGCAUUAUUAAAUAUUCAGAAACUAUAGUUCUUAUGAGUUUAAUCGGUGUCAUUGAUAUCGCCAACUCAACUUACAUCCUAUUAAGAUAUAAAAACCAUGAACCUUCUUGUCUUAAAAUACGGCAUAUUAACCUUACAGCGAUAUAACGCAAAAAACUGCAUGUCAAUGACGAAUCGCGAUUUAUUAAAUUUGCAUCCGAACAAAAUAUAAAGGAAACAAGAUUUUCCUCCUCUGCAACAUGAUACGUGAACAGUGCGAAUGUAAAAAGGCAAAAGCGCAAUGUCAUCGAUGAGUUGCACCUGAGCAAUCUCAUCUCCAUCAAACGUCGCAAACGGACAAGUUAAAAAAGACACAAUACUAACGUCCAUUCGAUUAAGAUACGACGGAAGCGUAACUCGAAUGCGGAGGAAGUUGAAGCGAGGCGAGGAAGGAGGAAGAGAAAAAAAGAAUCGAAAAAAAAAGAAAGAAAGAAAGAAAGAAGUAAAAAAAGGAGUGUCGGUUCGAUGCAAGCCAGAAGAAAGCAACGGCGGUGCAGCUGUUUCGCUGUUGGUCCGGUUGCACAAUGCAAAAUUCGGGUUCUAAUUCUAAAGCGAGUACCAAUCAGCCCGGGCAUUGUUCACCCAUGAAAGCUCGCAAUUUUUCGGGGUUAAUCGUUCCUUGAAACCUAAUAAGCGACGAGCUAACGCCGUUGGAUGUCGUUUUCUUAGGAGAAAAAAAAACACAUCCCCGUUCAGGAGUGGACACGCGUCCCCCGAAAAAAUCACCAAGGGGAUGCCGAGAGAACGUUCGAAAAGUUUGACGCUCGAACACGCCUCGAAUACGUCACGAUCGGGACCGGUUAACAGUCGAGGUAAUUGGCCAUUGUAAAUUCGCUGUGUGUCGCCAAAGAGUACCGUGCAAGUGCAGGAAUAUAGAUAUUUUAGCUCGUUCGAAUAAUCUGACUUUCAAUGGAUAGAUAAUAAGAAGUGUCGAAGAAAAUCAAUUAAGAAAGUGCGUCAAUGUAAAUAGGAUAGGUAAUCGAUAGAAAUCGCCUUGGGAUUCCUCGUUCGAUGUUCAAGAAAGUUUGUAACGCGAAUACCAAUAGAGAAUCUAAAGUACAGAAAAGUGUAAACCAUGCUACGUGUUAUACAAUCGAGCCGUUUGAAGAUAGGAUUCCACAGUUAAAUUCUACGUACCAAGGCAAAAAUAUAAUGGAGCAUACAUACAUACAAUUGUACUUUGGAAGCUUCGCGUGAUUUCACCUAUUCUGAAAUUAACAAUUGGAAUAGCAAAAUUGAAACUCCUAUCGAAAAUCAAUACGAUUCGAAUAAUUAACCAGCUGAGCGUCACGAGUCUUAAGAAAUUAUUUUGCAUAUUUUAUACUGACAAUUUUUGAAAGUAAAUUAGAUUCAUUACGAGUGAUAUUUAUGUAGUCGAUAUAUGUUACGUCACGAUGAACCUCCGAUUAUACUACAUAGACUGCAGAGAUGAAUUGUUUCUUUGAAAUUACGAUUCACAUAUACGUUUCUUAUUCUAUAGAAUAUUCAAAAUCUAAGAAACUACAUCGUAAAUUCGUAUCGUGUAUUACGUUUCUUGAAAUAAAAAGAUUCUCGUAAAUAACCAUCCACGUUUAAAAUUCCAUGUGUUAAACCAUUCUCAAAAAAUUCCCGAUAAUAAUCCACGUUACCACUUUCUUCAUUUUAUACGAAGAAUUCUCGGAACUCAGCCAGUCGCUUGGACGCCUAUGAACUUCAGCAGCCGGUCCAAAGGCGUGAUGCAUUCAAAGCGAUCCAUCAAAACAGUCGACGCGUUUGGUCUUGGGUGCACUGGAUCGGUCACACCGUGACGAUUGCAUAUGCACUUACAUCCCGCUAUAAAUAAUGCUCGUUGACAGGGAACGAGAGGAAGGAUGACCAAUCAGGUAUGGGUGGAAGGGAUUCACCGAAGCAAGUUGCCAGAAAGACGGAGAGAGAACAGUCAAGGACAACUUACGUGACCACCGCAUUGCGACGGAGGAAUCAACAACGAUCCUAAAAUUCUCCUCUUUUCUCUGCCGACAGGGAUGAACUGUCCGUUCAUAGACGAUAGUAUAAAUAGUUCGUUCACCCGAUACGUUUGAAAGCGAUCCAAAUGUUGUAAAUUCGCGGAAGAACAACGACAACACGCCGGCCGAUUCUUGGGACACCGGAAGAGAAGCGACGGGACGCGACGUGUGAAACAGAAAAGAGCGUCUGGUAUGUCAGGACGCUUAUCAAAGCGAACGAGGAAGCGUCAAUAAAAGCGUUCUCGAGUCAAUUCCUGUUGAGUUAUGGCCGAUUUAGCGUGUUGCCUGUGUGACGGAUGCUCUCUGCGCGUCUUCUUGCAUCGCUGUUGCUUUUCGCUGUCAUGUUUGUAUUCCGUUUGAAGUAGACAGAUCUACACCUGUUUUCAGACAGACAUGGGAUAGACGUUGCAUUAUAAAUCUUGCCAGUCGACUUCCUUUGGCGCUGGAUAUUUUACAUCGAUUAUAUAUCUUUGCGAAGAUUGUCGGAUAACGUGGUAUCCUGGUGCGAGGACACCGGUAAUAAUUUUAUUUAUUAUUAUACGCGAUAUUAUACAUUCUUCGGCGAUGGACACUUUCGUAAAGAUCGAAUAAAAUAAAUACCUCGCUCUAAGCAUGCACGGAAAAUGGACGACGAAGAUUCUUCGAUUCAACGCGGACUUGGACGACCGAGCCAAAAAAUGAACAAACAAGCAGGAACAUGGAACAAAGUUCUUGAAACUGAACAAGAAAUAUCCAAGGUACAAAAAGAUCCACACAGAUGCGUCGAAAAGAAACUCAGAAAUCGCUAUCACGCCCGAGAAUCAGACAGAGGAUCAGAGGAUCAAGACACAUCCAUGUCAGUUGUCUCAGCUGAGAUAAACGCACUCUUGGACACCAUGAAACUUGCAUACUGAACUACGCUAUACAAACGACAUGCAUAAUGUAGCCGUAUACUCGAGCUCCAUAAGUGCAAUUAAAGCCCCAUCAAAAUCAACUCAAAGACGCGCAAUUAUCGAAAGAUAGAAGAAAAAAACGAAAUCGCCGAAACUACAUCAUCGUCUACCGAAUCUCCGAUUCAAAUUCUUCGCUAGGAUCUCAUCAAUCACGCAAGAAGAAGAAAAAGGAAAACAGGCGAUAAAAGAACCUACAUCCAUAACAUAACUCGGGACUUCUACCUGCCAAUACAUGGAAAAUCUAUAGACAAGAAAGAUAAAUCCUCUUAUUGUCCCGAUUACGAACCGGCCACGCUGAAAUCAUCCAGGACUACGUCAUCGGCAAAACAGACCGACCAUGUACGAAAAUCAGCUGCUAACAAGUCACCGCGAACGAUACGAAUGUACAAAAUUUGAACAACAGAGACGAAAAGAUGGCAUCGAAUCUAGCACAGCGUCAACAUCCAAGGAACAUUUAAGAAAUACGGUUCAGUUCGUUAAAGAUUCCGAGCUAUAUGACAGAAUCAGGAUCAGAAUCAGAAAAAGUGGUUGCGUAGGAAAAAGAGAAUAGUACGUUAAUAGUAUUCCGUUAGAAAUAUCUAGUUUAUUCUGGUUCGUGACAAGUAUCGUUUAUACGUAUACGAUAUCGUAAAUUUUACGAAUUAAUCUUCUUUAACGAUGCACUCGUUGGAUCGAUACUUGGAUCGUAUCGUGAAAGAACGACACGGCGGUCGUUAACGGUGCUCGUUGCAAGAAACAGUUAAAGGAGCUUGAUCGUUUCUCCUUCGUCUUCCGUUUCUUCUUUUAUUUUUGUAUUUUAUAUCAGCUUGUACGCUCCCUUCGGACCGUGAGAUAAACCUUGACCAAGUUAAGGAUAACCGCAUUAAGGUAGCACUCUCUCGUAAGCCAAUCAACCGAGGAAAGUGCUUAACGGAAAGUGAAUUAUUGUUUGUUCUUACGUCGAGCAAGUGUGACGAGAGAGUAUAAAAAAAUAGAACGACGCCUUUCGAGCCCAUUCACCGGACAGUGUUGAUCUAUUCGCGUUAGAAUACCUUUGUUUCGUCGUUCUUUAUCGAGUGCGUGGUGACGUACUCUUCUAUGGCGUAGAUAGUUAAGAAAGUUUAAAAAAAAAACAACGAGUUUAAUGUGUAAAAACUUGUGGAUUAUUAAUCCUAAGGCUGUGGUUUCUUAAACAAAUUCUAUGACAUAUCAUACAAGAAACAUAAGAUAGUGGACGUAGAAAAUGAACAGGUUUGCAGAAAAAUGUCGACCACACCCUGUAUAACACCUGUGUCUCGACGUCUGGAACCGCGAGAGACCGGGAACCUAGGAGAGGAGCUGGUCAGAGUACGCAAAAGGAGGAGGCAAGUAGGUCAGUAGGGGACGGGUCGCAACUGCAGGAUGUCCUGACCCGAUACGACAAGCGAGAGAUCGACCGAGCUAUCUAAACGGGCGAACGUGAAUGUCCUACGCCCACACGAUGAAAUUCUAUCUCGUUAAUUAGCAUAAAAACGUAGAACGGAUCCUUGCGUUGGCCAAUGUUCGUUUGGAAUUAAAUGCAACGGCCACCAAUUACGCCAUAAACUGCCGAAACUCGCGCUUCGGAAAUCCACGCCUUCGUUUAAGCUACUCGAUACAACUUCAGAGAUCGUGUUUCAAAACCAUGACGAACUUGACGCUACAUGUUUGGCUCGACAUCGAUGCUCGGCGACGGGCGAGAGUUGAAUUCGACGCGAGUUUUUGGAACGUCCUUUUUCGGGAUGCAUUUGGUAAAUUGCAACGUUGUCGGGAAUAAAAUAAACAUAAGUAAAGUGCAGUAAAGAAGUAACACAAGUAAUCGGAGGUGGAUGAAAAUUGAUCCUACGAAGACAUCGGUAAUACACGCUUACGUAUUUCUAGCCACAUUCUAAAAGUUUAUAUAGACUUUAUGAAGUGCCAACUACGUGCAACUUUAGCGACGCGGGUAUAUUCCCUCAUUCGAUUUAAAUAGUAUUUGAUUUCACCUAUGACAAAAGAUAAAGAAUUCGUAAUGGAGAAACGUUUAAUCGUGACUUUGAAAUGAUAACAAAAAUAUUGACAUUUUUAUCGAAUUGCAGCAAAUGUUCAAAUACUUAUGGACGAUAAGUCAUCUGAUCAUCUACCGAUCAGUUUUUACUUAAUCGAUCAGACUCAAAAGCGAAUUUUUGAAAAACACCCGAUAUAAGUAUAAGUAUACAGUACACGAACUGCCAGUCGGAGCAAAGGAAAACGAUUCUUUGUGGCAGAUGUUAGAGCAGCUUGCUAAUUGACUCAUUCAACGAGGUUCAAAUAUAAGAGUUAGUCGAAUGAUAGGGAAAAUAUAUCUACACCCAAGAAGGCCACUCGCGGGUAAACAAACUAAUUUUAACUUAUUUUUGUAUUCCUGAGAAGUUUACUCUUGAAAAUUAAUAAAAAGAAAAUCGUAAUUUUUAAGAGAAGAGAUAAAAUUAUUGCAAAAAAUAUGGAUUUGAAAAGUUACGCCUAAUUCGUCAUACGUGUAAUUCCCUUUGACGAGGCAGUUCGUGCAAUCCCAUCCCCGAGGACGCGAAAUCGUACGAUACCCGAUGGACGAGUAUAAUCUCGCGCAAGGCCGUCGAUUAUCCAUCCUUCUAGUUCGCGUUGAACGCUACAAAUCAAUACCAUUCAAUUGUUGCGAACGAUAGUGUAACGAAACGCGACGAUCGUCACGCAUUUGCAUCCUAUUUAUCGUCGAUAUAGUUACUUACGCAAUUCGCAUUAUUUCUGCUUCGCCUAGUUAAUAAUUCAUGAUGUAUUAAUUAUUAGCGGAAUAAUUAAGAGAAAUAUUCUAAAUUUAAAAAAUCUUUCGAUAUAUUUUAAAAUUUGUUCACGGAAUGAAAACUUUGAAGGUGCUUAUCUUUAUCCGUUUAAUUCUGUUAGAAAGGAAACUUUCUUUCUUCGAGAUUACGUUAUACAUUUUCAAUCGAACUCUACGUAACUAACCUAGGAUCGUUUAUUUCUAAAUCGUUAAAACUUCCCCAUUUGUGAUGAAUUAUUAAACUUUGCCCGUCUCGAAGCAAAUUUUUUAACAUUUUACUUAGAAAAGCUUUACGUAUUUGAUCUAAUAACUGAUCGUACAGCGUAAUAGAGACUUUGUUAAAUGUUCUACAACUUUUUCAAAUUUCUCGCAAGCCUAGAACAAUACAUAUUGGACGUGGCCGUAAACGAUCCCGUUUGCGCACGGCACGUGCGAAAAUAAACUUGUACACGAAUAGCGAAACACGCUAACCCCUUUCUGAUUUGAUACUUUUGAAAAGACGACUUAAUACAUAAAAAUAUAUCAAAAUUCCAAUAGAAAUACAAUUCAGCUAGCUUAACCGCAUACUACGUAAAAAUUCAUAUAAAAUGAAAUUUGAGUAAAAAUGCGAUAUAAUGUUGCACGAGGAAGGGAAGAAAUAAUUGAGUUCAAAGUUUUAGGCUCGGUUGAGUAUCUCUGCAAUUAGUCCUUGAUUACGUAACUUCUGCUCAGUCAUGACCUUGAAGCAAUUCAAGGUUAGGAUGUAUAGUCUAAAUCUAUUCGAGUUCAUUUCGAAUAAUACUCUGUUUACGAGAACUAUGUGGUUGACCUUGAAAUGAGUAUUGAAAAAUUAGACAGAAGAGAUCCGACAACAAAAAGCAUGAUCUUUCUUUCAAAAGCGGGUAGCACGUUUUUCAUAAAUUAUUCAACCGAGGACGCGUGUUAAUAGUACACCGGUUUUAACAAAGAACAGCAUCCAAUCAUAAUGCAAAUCGAAGCACAAUGAGAGAAAGAAGGAGAGGGAUGCACAACAUGCACAGGCCAAUAUAAUAAAGCAACAGUGAAGCAAUGAAUAGAGAAGUACGUAUAUUGGGAGGGAGAGAGAAAGAACGACAAUGCAACACACCGGAAGAAUAAAGAGGAAAAGAGAAAGAGGGACAACAGAAAACAGGUUAGAAAAGGAAAGGAAAAGGUGGCGUUACUGGUAUAGAGAGAGAGAGAGAGAGAGAGAGAGAGAGAGAGAGAGAGAGAAAGAGAGAUAGAGCAGAAAAAACCGACAAGAAGGGAGAGAGAUGCAAAAAUGGACAGAGACAGUACAAUCGCAUAGUUCGUCCUUGGACUUAUAUAACAAGGAAGAGUCUGACAGAGAAAGAAGAGAAGGAUCUUAAUAGAAGAAUGAAAAAAGGAUGAAAAGAGAAUGGAUUAAAAAUAAAAGGGAAAACAAUGGCGCACGCCUGCCCUCUAGUAGCGACCGAAAGGUUCUGGAAAUUUCGCGAAACAGCGUACUCAUAGAAAAUUCGAAUUACGUACUAUGUUUUAUAAAUUGUACACCUAUACAAAAAAUGGUUUUAUAGGAAAAGAAACACUGACACAUGAUUGUAAAAAGUUCGAUGAAAAAGAUAAAUUGUAUAUUAAAUCUUUGCGAAAUGAUACAAGAUAAUUAGUUGCACAAUUUAAAUAUACUUAUGCGCUAUUAAACGUCUUCUAACCUCAUCCUUUGUCAAUAAACAUUGUAUAUAAAAUAGAAUAUAGCUUUUCCUAUCAUCUUAAUUCUGUUUAACGUUAUUGCCUCGAUAGAUUGCUAAUAAAAAAAUUAAAAAACAACUGAA